UACGGGGGGGGCAAGCGUUGUUCGGAAUUACUGGGCGUAAAGGGCUCGUAGGCGGCCAACUAAGUCAGACGUGAAAUCCCUCGGCUUAACCGGGGAACUGCGUCUGAUACUGGAUGGCUUGAGUUCGGGAGAGGGAUGCGGAAUUCCAGGUGUAGCGGUGAAAUGCGUAGAUAUCUGGAGGAACACCGGUGGCGAAGGCGGCAUCCUGGACCGACACUGACGCUGAGGCACGAAAGCGUGGGGAGCAAACAGG
rnacentral:rRNA from 1 species